GGGGUUGCAGCUCAGUGGUAGAUCACUUGCCUUGCAUGUGGGAGGCACUGGGUUCGAAUCCCAGUACCACA
rnacentral:tRNA from 1 species